rnacentral:miRNA from 1 species
ACACGAUCAACUUUGGUGUUUAUGACGUCGAAUAUCGACGUCAUAAAGACGAUCAACUUUGGUGUUUAUGACGUCGAUAUUCGACGUCAUAAACACGAUCAAAU